rnacentral:rRNA from 1 species
CACGUAGGGUGCGAGCGUUGUCGUGAAUUAUUGGGCGUAAAGAGCUCGUAGGCGGUGUGUCGCGUCGGCCGUGAAAACCUGCAGCUUAACUGUGGGCUUGCGGUCGAUACGGGCAUCACUGGAGUUCGGCAGGGGAGACUGGAAUUCCUGGUGUAGCGGUGAAAUGCGCAGAUAUCAGGAGGAACAGCCGGUGGCGAAGGCGGGUCUCUGGGCCGAUACUGACGCUGAGGAGCGAAAGCGUGGGGGAGCGAACAGG